UCCUGCAUGUGACACUGCCAAGCUCCCAGGC
rnacentral:piRNA from 1 species